AGAACGAACGCUGGCGGCGUGGAUAAGACAUGCAAGUCGAACGCGAUUUAUCGAGUUAGCAAUAACUUGGUAAAUUGAGUGGCGAAAGGGUGCGUAACACGUGGGAAUUUACCGAGAAGUGGGGAAUAGCUCGACGAAAGUCGAAUUAAUACCGCAUGUGAUCGAAAGAUCAAAGCCGGGGACCGCAAGGCCUGGCGCUUUUUGAGAAGCCCGCGGCCCAUCAGCUAGUUGGCGGGGUAAAGGCCCACCAAGGCUAUGACGGGUAGCUGGUCUGAGAGGACGACCAGCCACACUGGAACUGAGACACGGUCCAGACACCUACGGGUGGCAGCAGUCGAGAAUUUUUCACAAUGGACGAAAGUCUGAUGGAGCGACGCGCGUGGAGGAUGAAGGUUCUUGGAUUGUAAACUCCUGUCACUGCAGACAAGGCUACGAAUGUGAAUAGCAGGCGUAGUUGAUGGUAUGCGGAGAGGAAGGGACGGCUAACGUC
rnacentral:rRNA from 1 species